rnacentral:misc_RNA from 1 species
AAGUCGUAACAAGGUAACCGUAGGUGAACCUGCGGUUAGAUCAUUAAUAAAUCUAGAAGGUCUUCAAGACCUCUCUAACAUCUUGUGAACUGUUUAUGUCUCUGGCAGUUUCUUCGGAUCUGCCGAGUAAACUUUGUAUUUUAUUUAGUCUAAAAAUUCAUAAAAGUAAUUAAAACAACUUUUGACAACGGAUCUCUAGGCUCUC